rnacentral:rRNA from 1 species
UACAGAGGUCCCGAGCGUUGUUCGGAUUUAUUGGGCGUAAAGGGUGCGUAGGUGGCAAGGUAAGUUGGAUGUGAAAUCCUGGGGCUCAACCUCAGAAUUGCAUUCAAUACUGCUUAGCUAGAGAGCUGUAGAGGAGACUGGAAUUUACGGUGUAGCAGUGAAAUGCGUAGAUAUCGUAAGGAACGCCAGUGGCGAAAGCGAGUCUCUGGGCAGCAUCUGACACUGAGGCACGAAGGCCAGGGAGGCGAAACGGG